UUCUAUGGUGACCCGAGCGGGGGCGAUUUUGAUCGCGCCAGUACCUCUUUAGCUGGUUACGCCAACCUCGUUCGUGGCUACCACCCGA
rnacentral:antisense_RNA from 1 species